UACGUAGGGUGCGAGCGUUAAUCGGAAUUACUGGGCGUAAAGCGUGCGCAGGCGGUUUUGCAAGCCAGAUGUGAAAUCCCCGGGCUUAACCUGGGAAUGGCAUUUGGGACUGCAAGGCUGGAGUGUGGCAGAGGAGACUGGAAUUCCUGGUGUAGCAGUGAAAUGCGUAGAUAUCAUGAGGAAGACCAGUGGCGAAGGCGGAUCUCUGGACAGUUCCUGACACUGAGGCACGAAGGCCAGGGGAGCAAACGGG
rnacentral:rRNA from 1 species